rnacentral:rRNA from 1 species
GGCUCAGAGUGAACGCUGGCGGCAGGCCUAACACAUGCAAGUCGAGCGGCAGCGCGUCCGACCACCCUCGGGUGGUCGGAUGGCGGCGAGCGGCGGACGGGUGAGGAAUGCAUCGGAAUCUGCCUCGUUGUGGGGGAUAACGUAGGGAAACUUACGCUAAUACCGCAUACGACCUACGGGUGAAAGUGGGGGACCUUCGGGCCUCACGCGAUGAGAUGAGCCGAUGCCGGAUUAGCUAGUUGGCGGGUAAAGGCCCACCAAGGCGACGAUCCGUAGCUGGUCUGANAGGAUGAUCAGCCACACUGGAACUGAGACACGGUCCAGACUCCUACGGGAGGCAGCAUGGGGAAUAUUGGACAAUGGGGGCAACCCUGAUCCAGCCAUGCCGCGUGUGUGAAGAAGGCCUUCGGGUUGUAAAGCACUUUGUUGGGGAAGAAACCGGCCGGGUUAAUACCCUGGUUGAAUGACGGUACCCAAAGAAUAAGCACCGGCUAACUCCGUG